rnacentral:snoRNA from 1 species
ACGGCAUGAUGGGGACAUUUCCUCAUGAGGUCCUUUAAUCUUUCCCAUGCUUCAUGGAACUGCUCACUAUCUUGCUGAAAGAAGCUAGUGAGAGCUCAUCUU